AGAGUGGCCUGUGAACACCGGUCGGGCGAGCUGGCAGUUGGGAGUUUCCCUAGCGACUCAGUUCGGGUGGGCGUUGGGCGCCUGAGUCAGCCAAACAGCCUACUCGGGGUUCUUGGGUAGCCUUUGGGGUGAGGGGACUUGGGCGGCCUUGGUCUGUAAGCUCUGCGUUCCCGGGCGUGGAAGAGACUGGCCGCGCACAUGCGUUUCUGUGGUUUUCCUGGUUUGGGGAAAGCGGGUAAAUGGUGGCUGGUUGCGGCUAACUGGGCCGCGCUAAAAGGUAACCCAAGGCAGGUGGAUUACCUGGGGAAACAGCUGGAGCAGUGGUCCUGGGCCGCCAGUCCGCGGUCAUCCCGGGAGCUUAAGAUGCGGAGUGGUGAUAGGCUCCGGAUGUAUGAGCCCUGUGGCUCAAGGGCGCUGUUCUCUCUGCUCCGAAAUAGAAAUAAUACCUGUCUCACAGAGCUGUUGAAAAGCUCCACUGAAAUAAUGACCGCAAGUGUGAACUGUAAAGCAAUGAGAGACGUGGCCGAUAGAAGCCGAGUGGCAGUAACUCUAAGUUGGAGUUACACGGUGGAGAAGGAAGCACUGACUCAGACUCGGGUAACUUCCUCUUAUUCCCUCACACGUGUAUCUUGUUCCCUUCUUCGAAGUCUGUAAAUUUAAAAUCCUAAGCCCCCCAACAACUGAACAGACCCCCGUGAGGCCAAGGGGACACCAGCAAAAUCUUAACAACUGAGUUCCCAGUCAUAACGGGAUGGGAGGUCAGACGGACCUGGUUAUACCC
rnacentral:lncRNA from 1 species